CAAUAGCGUAUAUUAAAGUUGUUGCAGUUAAAAAGCUCGUAGUUGAACUUCUGUCAGGAGUGACCGGGCCUUUGGAUGAACUUCCAUUGUUUUUUGCUCUGUUUGUCAUCUCUAGACAUCCUGAAAUAUUUUUUAAAAAUAUUUCUCUUUUACUGUUAGCAAAAUAGAGUGUUCCAAGCAAAGCGUAGUUUUGAAUACAUUAGAAUGGAAUAAUAAGAUAGGACUUUGGUGCUAUUUUGUUGGUUUGCACACCAAGGUAAUGAUUAAUAGGGACAGUUGGGGGUAUUCGUAUUUAAUUGUCAGAGGUGAAAUUCUUGGAUUUAUGAAAGACGAACUACUGCGAAAGCAUUUACCAAGGAUGUUUUCAUUAA
rnacentral:rRNA from 1 species